rnacentral:tRNA from 1 species
UGCCUAUUGGCCCAGUGGUCAAGGCGUCUGACUGUUAUCUCGAAACAGAAACAUCAGAAGAUCCCUGGUUCGAUCCCAGGAUAGGCAG